rnacentral:rRNA from 1 species
UACGGAGGGAGCUAGCGUUGUUCGGAAUUACUGGGCGUAAAGCGCACGUAGGCGGCUACUCAAGUCAGAGGUGAAAGCCCGGGGCUCAACCCCGGAACUGCCUUUGAAACUAGGUAGCUAGAAUCUUGGAGAGGUCAGUGGAAUUCCGAGUGUAGAGGUGAAAUUCGUAGAUAUUCGGAAGAACACCAGUGGCGAAGGCGACUGACUGGACAAGUAUCGACGCUGAGGUGCGAAAGCGUGGGGAGCAAACAGG